GGAUGUGAGGGUGAUCUGGUUGAAGCAUCUGCCACCCUAUUGAUUGCCAGGGUUGAUUCAGCUGAUCUGGCUGGCUAAGGUGGAUGUCCCCUUCCUCCCCGACCAUUCUAUGUGUGUCCCUCCCGCAGUUGGAGCUCAAAGAGGGUGACCAUCCCCACUAGAGGAGCACCAGUCUUUAGUCAAGGAUAUUUGAGUAUCUGUGCUCCCCUGCUAACAAACAAGCUCUCUAGAUUAUUUUAUUAUUACUUCAUAAGAUUAGAGUAAGUGAUUUUCAAGGGUUCCU
ensembl:misc_RNA 7SK 7SK RNA